GACGAACGCUGGCGGCGUGCUUAACACAUGCCAGUCGAACGGAAAGGCCCUGCUUGCAGGGUGCUCGAGUGGCGAACGGGUGAGUAACACGUGGGUGAUCUGCCCCUUACUUUGGGAUAAGCCUGGGAAACUGGGUCUAAUACUGGAUAGGACCAUGCUGUAGGUGGUGUGGUGGAAAGAUUAGUUUCGGUAAGGGAUGAGCUCGCGGCAUAUCAGCUUGUUGGUGGGGUAAUGGCCUACCAAGGCGUCGACGGGUAGCCGGCCUGAGAGGGUGGACGGCCACAUUGGGACUGAGAUACGGCCCAGACUCCUACGGGAGGCAGCAGUGGGGAAUAUUGCACAAUGGGCGCAAGCCUGAUGCAGCGACGCCGCGUGGGGGAUGACGGCCUUCGGGUUGUAAACUCCUUUCAGCCAUGACGAAGCCCUUGUGGUGACGGUAGUGGUAGAAGAAGCACCGGCUAACUACGUG
rnacentral:rRNA from 1 species